GUAGGUGGCAAGCGUUGUCCGGAAUUAUUGGGCGUAAGGCACGCGCAGGCGGUUCUUUAAGUCUGAUGUGAAAGCCCACGGCUCAACCGUGGAGGGUCAUUGGAAACUGGAGAACUUGAGUACAGAAGAGGAAAGCGGAAUUCCACGUGUAGCGGUGAAAUGCGUAGAGAUGUGGAGGAACACCAGUGGCGAAGGCGGCUUUCUGGUCUGUAACUGACGCUGAGGCGCGAAAGCGUGGGGAGCAAACAGGAUUAGAUACCCUGGUAGUCCACGCCGUAAACGAUGAGUGCUAAGUGUUAGGGGGGUUUUCCGCCCCCCUUAGUGCUGCAGCUAACGCAUUAAGCACUCCGCCUGGGAGUACGGCCGCAAGGCUG
rnacentral:rRNA from 1 species